UACGUAGGGUGCGAGCGUUGUCCGGAAUUAUUGGGCGUAAAGAGCUCGUAGGCGGUGUGUCACGUCGGCCGUGAAAACCUGGGGCUUAACUCUGGGCGUGCGGUCGAUACGGGCAUCACUGGAGUUCGGCAGGGGAGACUGGAAUUCCUGGUGUAGCGGUGAAAUGCGUAGAUAUCGGUAGGAACACCAAUGGCGAAGGCAGCUUGCUGGCAUGUUUCUGACGCUAAGGCACGAAAGCGUGGGGAGCGAACAGG
rnacentral:rRNA from 1 species